rnacentral:tRNA from 1 species
UCCGAAUUGGUGUAGUGGCUAACAUUUGACGCUCUCAAUUUACAUCUUAAGUUCAAAUCAUAAGAUUAAAAGUACCGUCAAGCCCGGGGUUCGAUUCCCCGAUUCGGAG